rnacentral:rRNA from 1 species
AACGAACGCUGGCGGCAUGCCUAACACAUGCAAGUCGAACGAGACCUUCGGGUCUAGUGGCGCACGGGUGCGUAACGCGUGGGAACCUGCCCUUGGGUUCGGAAUAACUCCCCGAAAGGGGUGCUAAUACCGGAUAAUGUCUUCGGACCAAAGAUUUAUCGCCUUUGGAUGGGCCCGCGUUGGAUUAGCUAGUUGGUAGGGUAAAAGCCUACCAAGGCGACGAUCCAUAGCUGGUCUGAGAGGAUGAUCAGCCACACUGGGACUGAGACACGGCCCAGACUCCUACGGGAGGCAGCAGUGGGGAAUAUUGGACAAUGGGCGAAAGCCUGGUCCAGCAAUGCCGCGUGAGUGAUGAAGGCCUUAGGGUUGUAAAGCUCUUUUACCCGGGAUGAUAAUGACAGUACCGGGAGAAUAAGCUCCGGCUAACUCCGUG